UACGUAGGGUGCGAGCGUUGUCCGGAAUUAUUGGGCGUAAAGGGCUCGUAGGCGGUUUGUCGCGUCGGGAGUGAAAACCUUGGGCUUAACUCAGGGCUUGCUUUCGAUACGGGCAGACUAGAGGUAUGCAGGGGAGAACGGAAUUCCUGGUGUAGCGGUGAAAUGCGCAGAUAUCAGGAGGAACACCGGUGGCGAAGGCGGGUCUCUGGUCGGACAUGACUGACGCUGAGGACGAAAGCGUGGGGGAGCAAACAGGAUUAGAACCUACGUCAG
rnacentral:rRNA from 1 species